rnacentral:rRNA from 1 species
AGUGGGGGGGUGCUUUACAAUGCAAGUCGAACGGAAAGGCCCUUCGGGGUACUCGAGUGGCGAACGGGUGAGUAACACGUGGGUGAUCUGCCCUGCACUUUGGGAUAAGCCUGGGAAACUGGGUCUAAUACCGAAUACACCCUUCUGGCUGCAUGGUCUGGUUGGGGAAAGCUUUUGCGGUGUGGGAUGGGCCCGCGGCCUAUCAGCUUGUUGGUGAGGUUACGGCUCACCAAGGCGACGACGGGUAGCCGGCCUGAGAGGGUGACCGGCCACACUGGGACUGAGAUACGGCCCAGACUCCUACGGGAGGCAGCAGUGGGGAAUAUUGCACAAUGGGCGCAAGCCUGAUGCAGCGACGCCGCGUGAGGGAUGACGGCCUUCGGGUUGUAAACCUCUUUCGCCAGGGACGAAGCGCAAGUGACGGUACCUGGAGAAGAAGGACCGGCCAACUACGUGCCAGCAGCCGCGGUAAUACGUAGGGUCCGAGCGUUGUCCGGAAUUACUGGGCGUAAAGAGCUCGUAGGUGGUUUGUCGCGUUGUUCGUGAAAACUCACAGCUCAACUGUGGGCGUGCGGGCGAUACGGGCAGACUGGAGUACUGCAGGGGAGACUGGAAUUCCUGGUGUAGCGGUGGAAUGCGCAGAUAUCAGGAGGAACACCGGUGGCGAAGGCGGGUCUCUGGGCAGUAACUGACGCUGAGGAGCGAAAGCGUGGGGAGCGAACAGGAUUAGAUACCCUGGUAGUCCACGCCGUAAAACGGUGGGUACUAGGUGUGGGUUUCCUUCCUUGGGAUCCGUGCCGUAGCUAACGCAUUAAGUACCCCGCCUGGGGAGUACGGCCGCAAGGCUAAAACUCAAAGAAAUUGACGGGGGCCCGCACAAGCGGCGGAGCAUGUGGAUUAAUUCGAUGCACGCGAAGAACCUUACCUGGGUUUGACAUGCACAGGACGUGCCUAGAGAUAGGUAUUCCCUUGUGGCCUGUGUGCAGGUGGUGCAUGGCUGUCGUCAGCUCGUGUCGUGAGAUGUUGGGUUAAGUCCCGCAA